rnacentral:rRNA from 1 species
AACGAACGCUGGCGGCAUGCCUAACACAUGCAAGUCGAACGAGACCUUCGGGUCUAGUGGCGCACGGGUGCGUAACGCGUGGGAACCUGCCCUUAGGUUCGGAAUAACUCCCCGAAAGGGGUGCUAAUACCGGAUAAUUUCUUCGGACCAAAGAUUUAUCGCCUUUGGAUGGGCCCGCGUUGGAUUAGCUAGUUGGUAGGGUAAAAGCCUACCACGGCGACGAUCCAUAGCUGGUCUGAGAGGAUGAUCAGCCACACUGGGACUGAGACACGGCCCAGACUCCUACGGGAGGCAGCAGUGGGGAAUAUUGGACAAUGGGCGAAAGCCUGAUCCAGCAAUGCCGCGUGAGUGAUGAAGGCCUUAGGGUUGUAAAGCUCUUUUACCCGGGAUGAUAAUGACAGUACCGGGAGAAUAAGCUCCGGCUAACUCCGUG